GAUGAACGCUGGCGGCGUGCCUAAUACAUGCAAGUCGAGCGGAAGGACGAGAAGUUUGUUUCUCUGUUGUUAGGGGCGGACGGGUGUGUAACACGUGGAUAACCUACCUAUCUGACUGGGAUAACUUGGGGAAACCGGAGAUUAUACCGGAUAAUCUUUUGAUCCGCAUGGUUGAAAAGUGAAAGACGGUCUUGCUGUAUCUUCUAGCUGGUUCUGGGCUGCAUUAGCUAGUUGUGAAGGUAAAGGUUUACCAAGGCGACUAUGCAUUAACGACGUGCGAGAGUGGUCGGCCACAUGAGAACUGGAACGCGGACCAGAGUACUACGGGAGGCAGCAGUAGGGAAUCGUACGCAGUGGGCGAGAGCCUGACGGAGCGACGCCGCGUGAGAGAUGAAGGUCUUCCGAUCGGAAAACUCUGUUAUUAGGGAAAAACAGAUUUGUAAGUAACUGUGGACAUCUUGACGGUACCGAGUCAGAAAGCCACGGCUAACUACGUG
rnacentral:rRNA from 1 species